UACGUAGGGUGCAAGCGUUAAUCGGAAUUACUGGGCGUAAAGCGUGCGCAGGCGGUUAUGUAGGACAGGUGUGAAAUCCCCGGGCUUAACCUGGGAACUGCAUUUGUGACUGCAUAGCUAGAGUACGGCAGAGGGGGAUGGAAUUCCGCGUGUAGCAGUGAAAUGCGUAGAUAUGCGGAGGAACACCGAUGGCGAAGGCAAUCCCCUGGGCCUGUACUGACGCUCAUGCACGAAAGCGUGGGGAGCAAACAGG
rnacentral:rRNA from 1 species